GACGAGGGGUCCUAGCGUUGUUCGGAAUCACUGGGCGUAAAGCGUAUGUAGGCGGGUUUUUAAGUCGGGUGUGAAAUCCCACGGCUCAACCGUGGAAUUGCAUUCGAAACUGGAAAUCUUGAGUGUGGGAGAGAUUGGUAGAAUACCUGGUGUAGUGGUGAAAUACGUAGAUAUCAGGUGGAAUACCGGUGGCGAAGGCGGCCAAUUGGCCCAACACUGACGCUGAGAUACGAAAGCGUGGGGAUCAAACAGG
rnacentral:rRNA from 1 species